rnacentral:rRNA from 1 species
AGAGUUUGAUCCUGGCUCAGGACGAACGCUGGCGGCGUGCUUAACACAUGCAAGUCGAACGAAAAGAGGGAAAGAGCUUGCUCUUUCCGGAAUUGAGUGGCAAACGGGUGAGUAACACGUAAACAACCUGCCUUCAGGAUGGGGACAACAGACGGAAACGACUGCUAAUACCGAAUAAGUUCCAAGGGCCGCAUGGCCCAUGGAAGAAAAGGUGGCCUCUACCUGUAAGCUAUCGCCUGAAGAGGGGUUUGCGUCUGAUUAGCUGGUUGGAGGGGUAACGGCCCACCAAGGCGAUGAUCAGUAGCCGGUCUGAGAGGAUGAACGGCCACACUGGAACUGAGACACGGUCCAGACUCCUACGGGAGGCAGCAGUGGGGAAUCUUCCGCAAUGGGCGAAAGCCUGACGGAGCAACGCCGCGUGAGUGAAGACGGCCUUCGGGUUGUAAAGCUCUGUUAUACGGGACGAAUAGUCUUGUGGUUAAUACCCAUGAGAAGUGACGGUACCGUAAGAGAAAGCCACGGCUAACUACGUGCCAGCAGCCGCGGUAAUACGUAGGUGGCAAGCGUUGUCCGGAAUUAUUGGGCGUAAAGCGCGCGCAGGCGGCUUCCCAAGUCCCUCUUAAAAGUGCGGGGCUUAACCCCGUGAUGGGAAGGAAACUGGGAAGCUGGAGUAUCGGAGAGGAAAGUGGAAUUCCUAGUGUAGCGGUGAAAUGCGUAGAGAUUAGGAAGAACACCGGUGGCGAAGGCGACUUUCUGGACGAAAACUGACGCUGAGGCGCGAAAGCGUGGGGAGCAAACAGGAUUAGAUACCCUGGUAGUCCACGCCGUAAACG